rnacentral:rRNA from 1 species
GUGGUGUGACUGCGUACCUUUUGUAUAAUGGGUCAGCGACUUAUAUUCUGUAGCAAGGUUAACCGUAUAGGGGAGCCGAAGGGAAACCGAGUCUUAACUGGGCGUUAAGUUGCAGGGUAUAGACCCGAAACCCGGUGAUCUAGCCAUGGGCAGGUUGAAGGUUGGGUAACACUAACUGGAGGACCGAACCGACUAAUGUUGAAAAAUUAGCGGAUGACUUGUGGCUGGGGGUGAAAGGCCAAUCAAACCGGGAGAUAGCUGGUUCUCCCCGAAAGCUAUUUAGGUAGCGCCUCGUGAACUCAUCUUCGGGGGUAGAGCACUGUUUCGGCUAGGGGGCCAUCCCGGCUUACCAACCCGAUGCAAACUACGAAUACCGAAGAAUGUUAUCACGGGAGACACACGGCGGGUGCUAACGUCCGUCGUGAAGAGGGAAACAACCCAGACCGCCAGCUAAGGUCCCAAAGUCAUGGUUAAGUGGGAAACGAUGUGGGAAGGCACAGACAGCCAGGAUGUUGGCUUAGAAGCAGCCAUCAUUUAAAGAAAGCGUAAUAGCUCACUGGUCGAGUCGGCCUGCGCGGAAGAUGUAACGGGGCUAAACCAUGCACCGAAGCUGCGGCAGCGACGCUUAUGCGUUGUUGGGUAGGGGAGCGUUCUGUAAGCCGUUGAAGGUGUGCUGUGAGGCAUGCUGGAGGUAUCAGAAGUGCGAAUGCUGACAUAAGUAACGAUAAAGCGGGUGAAAAGCCCGCUCGCCGGAAGACCAAGGGUUCCUGUCCAACGUUAAUCGGGGCAGGGUGAGUCGACCCCUAAGGCGAGGCCGAAAGGCGUAGUCGAUGGGAAACAGGUUAAUAUUCCUGUACUUGGUGUUACUGCGAAGGGGGGACGGAGAAGGCUAUGUUAGCCGGGCGACGGUUGUCCCGGUUUAAGCAUGUAGGCGGAACGAUUAGGUAAAUCCGGUCGUUUUUUAACGCUGAGGUGUGAUGACGAGGCACUACGGUGCUGAAGUAACAAAUGCCCUGCUUCCAGGAAAAGCCUCUAAGCAUCAGGUAACAUCAAAUCGUACCCCAAACCGACACAGGUGGUCAGGUAGAGAAUACCAAGGCGCUUGAGAGAACUCGGGUGAAGGAACUAGGCAAAAUGGUGCCGUAACUUCGGGAGAAGGCACGCUGAUAUGUAGGUGAAGCCCCUGCGGGUGGAGCUGAAAUCAGUCGAAGAUACCAGCUGGCUGCAACUGUUUAUUAAAAACACAGCACUGUGCAAACACGAAAGUGGACGUAUACGGUGUGACGCCUGCCCGGUGCCGGAAGGUUAAUUGAUGGGGUUAGCGG